GGGGAUGUAGCUCAGUGGUAAGAGUACUUGCCUAGGAAGCAAGUCUAAAUUUGAUACCCAGCACCAUGAGCACACACAAAAACAAUUUGUUCCUCACCA
rnacentral:tRNA from 1 species